rnacentral:rRNA from 1 species
GACGGAGGGGGCUAGCGUUGUUCGGAAUGACUGGGCGUAAAGGGCGCGUAGGCGGUUUUUUAAGUUGGGCGUGAAAGCCCCAGGCUUAACCUGGGAACUGCGCUUGAUACUGGAAGACUAGAGGACGAGAGAGGAAAGUGGAAUUCCGAGUGUAGAGGUGAAAUUCGUAGAUAUUCGGAGGAACAUCAGAGGCGAAGGCGGCUUUCUGGCUCGUAUCUGACGCUGAGGCGCGAAAGCGUGGGGAGCAAAC